CAUCCUCCAAAAGAACAUCGCAACUGAAAUCGCAGCAAAAAUUGCCCGUGUAAAUGGGCCUUAAGUUAACAUAAUUUCUAUAUUCUUUUUUAUCAGAUUUUAUAGUUCACGAAAUUGACUCAUCCAUCAACUUCACAUGCCCUCAUGAUUCGACCAAGAACUACGAAGAAGCUGAUAACACCUGAGUUGAUAACACCUGGUGCAAGGAUUAAAGUAUUUGGACCUAUCUUGAUGAUUUUAGACCUAGAUUGGCAGGAUUCUGGACAGACAUUAUUUUUGUUCUAUUUAUGACUCAAAUGGCAAGCAGAUAGGAAAUCGGAAAUCUCUUGCUAUACUCAGUAUUAAACCAG